GGAUGUGAGGGUGAUCUGACUGUGAGAUCUGUCAUCCCACUGAUGGCUGUGGUUGAUUCGGCUGCUCUGGCUGGCGAGGCAGGUGUCCCCUUCCACCCUCACUGCUCCGUGUGCACCCUCCCCAAGCUGCACACUCAGUUGGUCAAAGAGGACAACCUUCCCUGAAUAGAGGACCAGUCUUUGGUCAAGGGUAUGUGAGUAGCUGCACUCCCCUGCUAGAAACAACAAACGAGCUCUCAAAAGUAAAAAGAGGCCUGGAGCAUAGCUCAGU
rnacentral:snRNA from 1 species